UGCAGGGGCCAGGAUGUUAGAAACAGGGUCUCCCAUACUCCAUGAGUGGCUCCUCAAGUCUGCUGACCUGAUCUCUCAUUCAUGUCUUCUAAAGGAUAAUCCCUUUCGAGAGAUCAGGGUGGCAGGUGCUGAGAUCCUGGGGGAGGGGUGGGUCAGGUGAGCAGCCAACAUUAUUAAUUCAAGCAAUGCCCUCAUUAUUAUUCAAAUUUAUUCAUAUCCUUGCGCAUUUCUCUAGUGCAGCUACAUGCUGCAAGCUCUCCACACUCACGUUUCUCCUUCCCAUGCCCCCCGGAGCCCAAGUCAAGGGCUUAAGAGUGGGGUUGCUGGUCAGCCCUGGCUCAGAGGUGGAAUUUAUAUGCAUAGCUUUCCUGCAUGGAGCCUGGACACCCUGGUCUCUUGCUGAAGUCUCUCAAGGACAGUGAGCAGCUGGCUCCUUGUCCACUUGGAAUGAAGAGGAAGCUGACCCUGCGGCAAGAUGGAGAUGAGAAGCACUCGAAGUAAGAAUCAGGAGACUGGGGUCUUGUGGAGGGAUAUCCAGGAUGUCUCUCCUGAAUGGACGAGAUUCCUGACCUCUACCCGGAAGAGAACUAUCAGUGACCCCAAGUUCUGCCCAUCUACCACUUCUGCUUCCUGCCCUACAGCUUAGACUCCCAUCUUAACCCUGUUUACCUCCUGGGAGGCUGCACUCUUCAGGUCUGGGCUGGCCAGCACUCUGUAGCCACGCAGGACUUGCCCCACAUGCUGCCAACAAUAUAGAAGGCUUGGUCUAGAUGUUCCUAUACAAAGGGAAGAGCGGUAGCCAAGGCUGGAAUGACUGUCAACAGCAUCCGGAGAGAUUUUGGUGAUUCAUAAAGCACCAACCUUCAGGCCACCAGUGGCUACCAGCAGAAGUAGCCCCUGCUUAUAAAGGGCCAAUGACUGUUCUGUGCAGCUCACUGAUCCACUGCCACUUUUAUACACAAAAACCCAACGAGGUAGGCACAAUUACUAUCCUUAAUAAAAAAAAGCUAAGGCUCAGGGA